AUUGAACGCUGGCGGCAUGCCUUACACAUGCAAGUCGAACGGCAGCACGGGAGCAAUCCUGGUGGCGAGUGGCGAACGGGUGAGUAAUAUAUCGGAACGUGCCCAGUCGUGGGGGAUAACGCAGCGAAAGCUGUGCUAAUACCGCAUACGAUCUAAGGAUGAAAGCGGGGGAUCGCAAGACCUCGCGCGAUUGGAGCGGCCGAUAUCAGAUUAGCAAGUUGGUGGGGUAAAGGCCCACCAAGGCGACGAUCUGUAGCUGGUCUGAGAGGACGACCAGCCACACUGGAACUGAGACACGGUCCAGACUCCUAUGGGAGGCAGCAGUGGGGAAUUUUGGACAAUGGGCGCAAGCCUGAUCCAGCAAUGCCGCGUGCAGGAUGAAGGCCUUCGGGUUGUAAACUGCUUUUGUACGGAACGAAACGGCCCUUUCUAAUACAGGGGGCUAAUGACGGUACCGUAAGAAUAAGCACCGGCUAACUACGUGCCAGCCGCCGCCGUAA
rnacentral:rRNA from 1 species